rnacentral:rRNA from 1 species
AUUGAACGCUGGCGGCAGGCCUAACACAUGCAAGUCGAACGAGUGGCGGACGGGUGAGUAACGUCUGGGAAACUGCCCGAUGGAGGGGGAUAACUACUGGAAACGGUAGCUAAUACCGCAUACCAUCGGAUGUGCCCAGAUGGGAUUAGCUAGUGGGUGGGGUAACGGCUCACCUAGGCGACGAUCCCUAGCUGGUCUGAGAGGAUGACCAGCCAAACUGGAACUGAGACACGGUCCGGACUCCUACGGGAGGCAGCAGUGGGGAAUAUUGCACAAAGGGCGCAGGCCUGAGACAGCCAUGCCGCGUGUAUGAGGAAGGCCCGCGGGUUGUAAAGUACUUUCAGCGGGAAGGCGUUACCCGCAGAAGAAGCACCGGCUAACUCCGUGCCAGCAGCCGCGGUAAUAC